GGUCACGUAGCUCAACCGGAUAGAGCACCUGCCUUCUAAGCAGGGGGUUGCAGGUUCAAGUCCUGCCGUGACCGCCA
rnacentral:tRNA from 2 species